CUAGCAGCAUCAUGCCCUUCUCUUGAGGUUUAAGUGAAAAGAAGACAAGUGACAGAGGAUGUGAGAUUCUCUGAGAGACCCUUGGAUGUCUGAGGAUAAAAACCAGGUGUGAUAAAGCAUGUCAGUCCCCUAAAUACCAGAAUAACCAAUUGUUUGUAACUCUGUUUCAGAUCAUGGUUGUGCUAGCAAAAGAACAGAUCCCUUUGCCCUUCUUCUUGCCUUUGAGAGUGGUUUGCAAUUCUUUCCCCCACUAAGCAGAUCAGAAAAAUCAUGGGAACAGACCAGGUCAUUUUACAUCCUGCAUUACCCACAGGUCAUAUCAGAAAUCCUAGCGGAAGUUUUGUCUUU
rnacentral:lncRNA from 1 species